UGGCCCCACAGGUGUGGGAACGCGGCCCGGCAGCCGCCCCCGGCUCUGCAAACCGGCACGGUAAAGUCACGCUGGUUCGUCAGGCCUCAGCAGAGCGUUCGGCUGAGCUUGGUCUCGAGGAGCCUGCGUGGCUCUGUCCCAGGGGAUGGUGCGACGGUGCCGGGGUUGGCUGCGAUAGUGGAGUGGCCCCAUGUGUGACUGCCCCUCUGCUCCCCCUGCCCCCUUUCCUUGGGCUCACAGGUUUUGGGAUGCCAGUCAGCCCCUGUCUGGACUGUUACCUCCAACCACUGAGUCUUUGUUUGUUCAGGCCUAGGGAAGGAGCAGCAGCAGGUGAGCUUGAAGGCCUGGGAGGGAUGCAAAGGAGAAGAGGAAGGCGGUGGAGACAAUGCACUGCCUUUGGUUCCUGGCCUGCUGGUGGAAGACGAGCCUCAGCAUGGCGUGGGAGCACCAUGUCCUUGCCAGCUCCAUGGGAACGUUUCUGUCAAGUGGAGGAGGAGAUUCUGCAGGAUUUUGAGAUCUGCUGCACAGACCAGGACACCUGUGUUUGUGCAGAAAAUGCUGUGGGUUCUUCCCUUACCAUUCAAAGUGGAUCGAAGUCAAUGCUUUUUUUCUGGGGAAAGAGGGUGACCAGGGCAUCCUCCCUGCAUCCACAUCUGCCAUGAUUCCCUGGCUUACUCUUCUUGCCAUGAACAGCUUCAUGCUCUCCCAGACGGGCUUGGGAGGAUGCUCAGGUAUGAUGGGAGCAGCAGCCUGGCUGGCUCCUGCUCUUACUGCAGACAAAAUCAAUGAGGAAAGAACAAAAAUGAGUCCUUAAAAUUAGCCCUUUGAAGUUGUUACCUAAAGGCUGGAGCUGGCAGCUGAUCCUAAGCAAACUGCUGUGACUUUGCUGCCUGGAGCAGUCAGGGUGGUUUCUCUUCCAGGGUCUGUUCCCAGCACCGCAAGUUUGUUGUCUUCAGGAUGAGGCAAGAAGGGGAAAACCCCCAGCCUCCAUUUUAGCUCAGCAGAUUUUCGUGCGAACUUCACAGCAGCUGAAGCCAGGUAACACAUGUUGCUUCAGCUUCCCUGUAGCUGACCAGCAGUGCACGUUUGCUGGCACAAGCCAGGAUGCCUGGAAGAUCCUCUUCCGAGCAGAGCAGGGUCCCAACAACGCAGCACCCAAUUCAAACAAACUGCUGCUGCUGCCUUCCCCCUUCUGAGAUAGGGUGUCUCCGAGACAGGUAUCCCUGCUUGGGGCCCAGUCCCUGGGCAGUGGAGAUGCACUCCAGCCUUUGGUCCUAAGGGCAACGUUACCCAAGGGGUGGAGCAGGGCUCAUAGGACCUUAGUCAGGGCUGCAGGGUAGGGCCAAAGCAGGAGUGAUAGGCAGGUGAAGGAAGCUUCAUGUUUUAUUUCUCUGUAGCACACCCAGAAACUAAAGUGGCCUCAGUCCCACCUUCGCCCUGAAGCUCCAAGCACAUUGAUGGGGUGGCAGCUCUUCUCCAGUGCUUCUGGGGUGGAAAAAAAGCCUCUCCUGCCCUGCCUGGCUGUGUUGCCAGCACUCAUAGGUUAUGCCUCUGUGAGGAGCGAGUGAAACAGCAGCUGCUACUGUCCUUUGAGGGGAUUUUAGGGAUGGGUGAAGCUCUGUAAUGGCAAAGGAGAGGCUGGAUCCAAGAGAAAACAACUGACCUAGUCAAUAGCUGUUUCUCUGCCGGGGAGAUCUCUCUGCUAAGAGAUCAAAUGUAGUAGUGGUUCCUAAAUACAAUAAAUGUACAGCAGGAUUCA
ensembl:lncRNA